rnacentral:rRNA from 1 species
AGGAUUAACGCUGGCGGCGUGCCUAACACAUGCAAGUCGAACGAGGUAGCAAUACCUAGUGGCAGACGGGUGAGUAACGCGUGGUCAACCUACCGUUGAGUGGGGGAUAACUAGCCGAAAGGUUAGCUAAUACCGCAUACGUCUCCGAGUGGCAUCACUUGGCGAUAAAAGGAGCAAUCCGCUCGAUGACGGGACCGCGUCCCAUUAGCUAGAUGGUGGGGUAACGGCCUACCAUGGCACCGAUGGGUAGCUGGUUUGAGAGAGCGACCAGCCACACUGGGACUGAGAAACGGCCCAGACUCCUACGGGAGGCAGCAGUGAGGAAUUUUCCGCAAUGGGCGAAAGCCUGACGGAGCGACGCCGCGUGUGGGAAGAAGGCCUUGGGUCGUAAACCACUGUCGAAGGGGACGAUAAUGACGGUACCCUUGGAGGAAGCCCCGGCUAACUACGCGCCAGCAGCCGC